UGGGGAAUUUUGGACAAUGGGCGAAAGCCUGAUCCAGCAAUGCCGCGUGUGUGAAGAAGGCCUUCGGGUUGUAAAGCACUUUUGUCCGGAAAGAAAUCCUUGGCUCUAAUACAGUCGGGGGAUGACGGUACCGGAAGAAUAAGCACCGGCUAACUACGUGCCAGCAGCCGCGGUAAUACGUAGGGUGCAAGCGUUAAUCGGAAUUACUGGGCGUAAAGCGUGCGCAGGCGGUUUGCUAAGACCGAUGUGAAAUCCCCGGGCUCAACCUGGGAACUGCAUUGGUGACUGGCAGGCUAGAGUAUGGCAGAGGGGGGUAGAAUUCCACGUGUAGCAGUGAAAUGCGUAGAGAUGUGGAGGAAUACCGAUGGCGAAGGCAGCCCCCUGGGCCAAUACUGACGCUCAUGCACGAAAGCGUGGGGAGCAAACAGGAUUAGAUACCCUGGUAGUCCACGCCCUAAACGAUGUCAACUAGUUGUUGGGGAUUCAUUUCCUUAGUAACGUAGCUAACGCGUGAAGUUGACCGCCUGGGGGAGUACGGUCGCAAGAUUAAAACUUAAAUGAAUUGACGGGG
rnacentral:rRNA from 1 species